rnacentral:pre_miRNA from 1 species
UGGAAGCUGGUUUCAGGUGGUGGCUUAGAGUGUUGCAUAUUGUGUCUCUAGCACCAUUUGAAAUCAGUGUUCU